AAAAAAAAAAACAAAUGCUCCUGUAAUCAUCUCCAGAAUGACCAGCACAAGAAGAGAACUCAGGGUAAGUGUUGAAGUUUUGUGGUUCUUUACAAUGACAAAGUACAACACAAUGAGAGCCAGACACUGUGUAUUCUGUACACUUAUCUUACGACGCAUCAACUUUUGCAUGAUUGAAGACCUUGAAAACACCCGCACUUUCAAGUUAACCUCACAUAAUCUUUAGCUCCAUUCUGAAAAAUAAAGGAAAUUUGUAUCUCUACUCUGUAAUUAAGUACAACCAAACGACAAAAACUGGCAUAUCUCUUUUGCUAUUAAAUCUCCCUUUUCGGGUUUUGUCUCCCAAAAGAACAGAGCAAAUCAAAUGAUGGGAACUUUUAAAUAUAUGCUGUACAAACUCUCUCUAUUUUACUUGUAGUGAAAC
rnacentral:lncRNA from 1 species